UACGGAGGUCUCAAGCGUUGUUCGGAUUCAUUGGGCGUAAAGGGUGCGUAGGCGGCGCGGUAAGUCGGGUGUGAAAUCUCGGAGCUUAACUCCGAAACUGCAUUCCAUACUGCGGUGCUUGAGGACUGGAGAGGAGACUGGAAUUUACGGUGUAGCAGUGAAAUGCGUAGAGAUCGUAAGGAAGACCAGUGGCGAAGGCGGGUCUCUGGACAGUUCCUGACGCUGAGGCACGAAGGCCAGGGGAGCAAACGGG
rnacentral:rRNA from 1 species